rnacentral:misc_RNA from 1 species
GGGGAGGAAACGGGAGGGAGAGAGAGAGAGAUGAGUACAAAAUGAAUUGCAAGUGUCUCAGAUAAUAAAAAUUACUUCGACUAAUAUUAUCCAUGAUUUAAGUAAUUGAGUGCUUCUAGAUCUCUCCUCUGCUCAUAAAAGUAAUACAACCAGCAAAUUUUGCACAUAUGCUAUUGAUUUAACAUUGCAGCAUUUUGAUUAUUUGGUUGGAUUCUAACACUUAAUUUUCAGGCCUAAACUAAUAUCCGUACAACAGUUUGCAAUCCCAUUCAACUCUAAGACUUACCAAUGACAUACAUAGCUAUACAUGCAUACCCAAGUUAGUUGCAUCGACAGUUAUCUUCACUCUCAAAUCUGUAUUGAUAUUUAUAUUUUAAGUGGUAGUAACCAUUACAGCAAAAGUUCUAUUUAUAGUUAGAUUUGUGGUGAAAGUGGAAAUAGU